GACGAACGCUGGCGGCGUGCUUAACACAUGCAAGUCGAACGGAAAGGCCCUGAUUUUGUGGGGUGCUCGAGUGGCGAACGGGUGAGUAACACGUGUGUAACCUGCCCUUGACUUUGGGGUAACUUCACGAAACUGGGGCUAAUACCGGAUAGGAUAUCCUGCUGCAUGGUGGGGGUUGGAAAGUUGCGGCGGUUGUGGAUGGACUCGCGGCUUAUCAGCUUGUUGGUGGGGUAGUGACUUACCAAGGCUUUGACGGCUAGCCGGCCUGGGCGGGUGAACGGGCACAUGGGGACUACGGGACGCACCAGAGUGCAACGGGAGGCAGUAGGGGGGAAUAUUGCACAACGGGCGGAAGCCUGAGGCGAAAACGUUGCGUGCGGGAAGACGGCUUUCGGGGUGAAAACAGCUGUCGCCUGUGACGAAGCGUGAGUGACGGUAAUGAGUAAAGAAGCACCGGCUAACUACGUG
rnacentral:rRNA from 1 species